UGGGGAAUAUUGGACAAUGGGCGAAAGCCUGAUCCAGCCAUGCCGCGUGAGUGAUGAAGGCCCUAGGGUUGUAAAGCUCUUUCAACGGUGAAGAUAAUGACGGUAACCGUAGAAGAAGCCCCGGCUAACUUCGUGCCAGCAGCCGCGGUAAUACGAAGGGGGCUAGCGUUGUUCGGAAUUACUGGGCGUAAAGCGCACGUAGGCGGAUACUUAAGUUAGGGGUGAAAUCCCGGGGCUCAACCCCGGAACUGCCUUUAAUACUGGGUAUCUCGAGUUCGAGAGAGGUGAGUGGAAUUCCGAGUGUAGAGGUGAAAUUCGUAGAUAUUCGGAGGAACACCAGUGGCGAAGGCGGCUCACUGGCUCGAUACUGACGCUGAGGUGCGAAAGCGUGGGGAGCAAACA
rnacentral:rRNA from 2 species